rnacentral:rRNA from 1 species
UACGUAGGGUGCAGGCGUUAAUCGGAAUUACUGGGCGUAAAGCGUGCGCAGGCGGCUCCUUAAGUCAGAUGUGAAAUCCCCGGGCUUAACCUGGGACUGCGUUUGAAACUGGGGAGCUCGAGUGUGGAAGAGGGGGGUGGAAUUCCAGGUGUAGCAGUGAAAUGCGUAGAGAUCUGGAGGAACACCGAUGGCGAAGGCAGCCCCCUGGGCUAACACUGACGCUCAUGCACGAA